AUGGCCUCGCUCACCAUGCUCACUACAUGGACGAUCUGGAACGAGCGAAACGCUCGUGUAUUCCGCAACAUGGCAGCUCCGCCUACGGUUCUUCUCGACAACAUCAAAAGGGAGGCAUCAUUUUGGGUCGCCGCCGGAGCUAAGAAGCUAGGGUCCAUCAUGCCGGGAGAGUGA
rnacentral:rRNA from 1 species